rnacentral:misc_RNA from 1 species
UCCGGUUUGUCACCGGCAGUCUCCUUAGAGUGCCCACCAUUACGUGCUGGUAACUAAGGACAAGGGUUGCGCUCGUUACGGGACUUAACCCAACAUCCCACGACACGAGCUGACGACAACCAUGCACCACCUGUGCACGGACCUCGCGGGGGAACCAUCUCUGGAACUUACCCGUGCAUGUCAAGCCUUGGUAAGGUUCUUCGCGUUGCAUCGAAUUAAUCCGCAUGCUCCGCCGCUUGUGCGGGCCCCCGUCAAUUCCUUUGGGUUUCAGCCUUGCGGCCGUACUCCCCAGGCGGAGUGCUUAAUGCGUUAACUGCAGCACUAAAGGGCGGAAACCCUCUAACACUUAGCACUCAUCGUUUACGGCGUGGACUAC